CGGCGGCGCGGCCGGGCCCGGCGCUCAGCAGCCCCCCGCGGCCGGGCUCCGCCGCCGCCCUCCCCGGGAGCUCCCCCGCCGCCGCCAACUGCUCCGCGGGGAGACGCCGCGCCCUGCGCCGCGGCCCCAUUGGUUCAGAGCGCUGUCGGACUGGUUGCCUCUGAAUCUGAAAGUUCAAUUUCUUUCAGAUACGCCGCAAAGACGUGCUUGUUAAAUAUUUCCAACUGAGCACGAGUGAUUGCUGCAUGUCUCACUUUCUCGCCUGUCAAAUUUGCAAUGAAGCAUCACAACAUUUACGCAGAUUACUUCUCUACGAGAUGAAAUGCCGACAAUUUGGUGUUUCAGCCACUGUACCUCUCCCUUGGAAAGCAAGUAAAAAUAAAUGCCUUGAGGGUAACUGCUAAGUGCUACAGUAAGCAAGGUUAUUUUACAAAGUUGUACAGUAAAAUGUUAGUAGGCAUCAAUUACAUUUCCCUGAUUAAAAAAUACAUUCACAGUAGCAUCUGCCCAGUGGUAAAAAAUAUUUUCUCUAACCAAAA